CCUCCGGGCCACGAGGCCGCCCCCCUAUCCCUUCGGAGGCCGGCGAGGGGCGCCUCUGGCUUGGCGGACACGCACGCACGGCUUUUUCUGCGGGGGUGCGUGGGUGGGGUACCCCCGCUUGAUCUCCGAGGGUAUCUUUCCCCGGUAAUAGUGCUCCUCCGGCGGUGCAUCAGAGUAGAGGUUCACUUGCAGGCUUACCUUUGCUGAUUUACCACUUGUGCGGGGUUGGCUUCCCCCCCCCCUCUCUGAUUCGGGGCCUGCUCCCAGCUUUCUCCCUCAAGGACUGCAUGGCUACUCUUUCCAGGAAAUCUUGUUGGGGCUGCUCUCCAUGGGGAUUCCUCGGGCCAUGCUUUGCGAUUCCUCCUUCCACCCUUUUUAAAAGUUACCAUGCUGGACAAAAAAUAAUAAUAAUAACAGAGCAAGGGUCCAGAUAGAGCCCUCAAAGAUCGAUCGAUCGAUCUAUCUAUCUAUCUAUCUAUCUAUCUAUCUAUCUAUCUAUCUAUCUAUCUAUCUAUCUAUCUAUCUAUCUAUCUAUCUUUCUUUCUUUCUUUCUUUCUUUGAGGGCUCUAGACACACACACACACGCAUAUCCUUAGUACCCAUUAAAUAUUAGCCAAGGGUUCUUAACCCAAUACCCUAAAAUGUUACAAUAACUGUGUUGUCUCUUCUAUAAUUUCCCAACAAUUUCCCAUGCUUCUCUCUGGAACUCAUGCUUUUCUCCUGUUGGUGGAGAAAAUGGACUCACCAGUUUCAUCUUCUCAGCCUUCCAGGACAACGAGAAUGAAGUCAUGCUGGACCUUUUGGUGAAGGAAGAAGACACAGAUGAUGCCGGUAUGUUCCUGUUCUUCUGCUGCCUUCCCUGAAGCAUGGAUAUGGAACUAAUGUGGAACGGUCUUCUUUCCGUAGGGGACGGGAGCUGUGCCGGACCAGCCACAGAUCCUGCAACACCCAGAACUUUGGAAGCCCAGCCAGCUUCUGACCCGGAGGCGGGCCACCCUGCCACGGCCGCCACCCUCCCACCGCCGGCCCGGCUCGCAUGGCUCCGAAGGAGGAAGACCAAAUCGGCCAAGGUGGAGUCCUUGCUUCUGCAGAUGCUCCACCAGGACGCAGAAGAAUCCCGGGAGACGCGGGAGGCGGUGGAGCGCGGCUGGGCCCGCCUGGAGGCCUGGGCCAGGGCCGAGCAGGAGAGCCGGGCCAGGGACGCCGAGCGGGAGCAGCAACACCGGCAGGAGGUCUUGAACUGCAUGCGGCAGACAAACGCCUUGAUCCGGAGCUUCAUGGGAGACACGUCGCUGCUCCUGCGUCGGAUUUUGGAGGCUCCCCGAAUGGAGGACGGAGGCAGGGAAGGGGCUGCGGAGGGGUCCGUGGAUGGCACGGGCAGAACGGCAGCAGGGAGCAGGCUGGCUGGCCACCGGCAGGCAAAGCGGAAGGCUGGCUCUGUCGACGACGAUGACGCUGCCACCAGCCAGAGCCCAGCGGGCUCCACAACCCCCUAG
rnacentral:lncRNA from 1 species